rnacentral:rRNA from 1 species
AUACGGAGGGUGCGAGCGUUAAUCGGAAUUACUGGGCGUAAAGGGUCCGUAGGCGGUCUGCUUAGUCUGAUGUGAAAGCCCCGGGCUUAACCUGGGAAUGGCAUUGGAUACUGGCGGACUAGAGUCUGGUAGAGGGUGGUGGAAUUCCCGGUGUAGCGGUGAAAGGCGUAGAUAUCGGGAGGAACACCAGUGGCGAAGGCGGCCACCUGGACCAAGACUGACGCUGAGGGACGAAAGCGUGGGGAGCAAACAGGAUUAGAAACCCUAGUAGUCC